rnacentral:rRNA from 1 species
GACGAACGCUGGCGGCGUGCCUAAUACAUGCAAGUCGAACGCAGUGGAGACGGGUGAGUAACACGUGGGUAACCUCCCAUCAGAGGGGAUAACACUUGGAUACAGGUUCUAAACCGAUACUUAUGGCUGAACCCGCGGUGCAUUAGCUAGUUGUUGAGGUAACGGCUCACCAAGGCCACGAUGCAUAGACGGCAUGAUAGGGGGAUCGGCCACACGGGGACUGAGACACGGCCCAGACUCCUACGGGAGGCAGCAGUGGGGAAUAUGGCACAAUGGGCGCAAGCCUGAUACAGCCAUGCAGCGUGUAUGAAGAAGGCCUUCGGGUUGGAAAGUACUUUCAGCGGGGAGGCGUUACCCGCAGAAGAAGCACCGGCUAACUCCGUGCAAGCAGACGCGGUAAUAC